UCAUUGUAAAAGUGCACGAUGUAAUGAACAACUUGACAUCGCGUCCACAGAAACUUAUAAAAACAAAAAAAUAACCUCCAAACGACUGAGCAUGUUUUGUGUAUUCAGUCGUGAAAUAGUGGACACAAAUUUAGACUCAGUUAGAUCAGCGAACUAUUGAAAAAAAAAUCCGAAAAAAAACUAUGCCAGUGAAGAUAAUUAAAUGAGAAAUAGAGUUAAGUGCAUUAUCUUUCAUGUGUUGAGGUUGAAGGACUGAUAGCGCAUUUUGAAAUCCUUGUAGAGAGGUAAGGAGAGAUUAAAGUUGAUCGUUUGUCACUACUAAAUGGAUCGUUGUGUAGGUGUGCCGCAUUGAAAAAGCUAUGCCAGAAAUUCUAGAAUCCUAAUUUAUCUCCCUUAAUUAAACAUUUUAUAUUGAAAAUGGGCUAAGUGUCCAAUUUUCGAAACCUUGAGUAGUCACCUACUGUAAAUAAUACUCGUGCGAUUAUUCACUUUUAAUUUCCUCGUGAGAGGAAGUUAUUUAAAUCUUGAAAAAGAACCUCCUAAAAGUCAGUUUUGAACUACGUGUGUACGUAUUACACGCAAAGAAAAUGUUUUUUCUCUUCGUCAGCAACGACGAUACCAAAACAUUUUAUGGAAAGAAUACAUUCGCUCAUUCUUUGGAUCUAAAUGAUAAAAAGGUGCUUGGGCAUCUGCAUGCCCUGUGAUCUUUGAUGAAAUAAUCUGCAAUUGGCGAUGGCUGACCUAGAAUCUACACCUCGUGUAAUAUGAUAUCCUUAACGUAAAAUUUAAACCAUAUCCAGUUAUCUGAGAGUACUCGAAAUACAUAAUAUCUUCUUCCAAAAACCCUGCAAUUGCCGUCUCACUACCUGCAAGUUUACUGACGUGAGCUUUGCGAUUAACACUGUGCCACCUGAUCCUCGAUCUUCAAACAACCAUCAGUUGACUCAGACUUGGGAUCUACGAUGAUCUGCGAAAUGGACCAAAACAUUGCCAUGAUUGCUACGCUGAGAAGCUUAAAAUACGGGAAAAUAUUGAGGAUGAUUUGAGCAACUUUCACUGUCUCCAAGUUCAAAAUGAACUGUUGGGCAUGGUGCUGUCCGCAGGACACAGCGGCUUGUUGCUGUUGCAUCACCGCGGUCUUUUUGAUAUUCGUCGUGUUCUUGCCCCUCGGAUAUUACGCCGCCGUCAAGCACCCAUGGCUGUACACUGUUGAUCCUUACAAAACCACCCAGGUCUACCACCCCCCUCAUAACGUCAAUCAAACUUUCUGGGCUGUUCUACCUGCAAUGCCUGGUUAAAGCCAUGUACCCUGUCAUGCGGAGGAAAUAUACUUCAUGCAAAAUCGAAAGCCCCCGAUGAAACGCCACAUUCUUCAAGAACUCUUUGAUUUUUUCUCCGGUUUUUUUUCAGAGAAUUUUAUUUGCAUUUGAUUAAAUGUACACGAAAAUAUCAGAAAAAACUAUUCAUGACUUGUCUGAAAAUUAAAUAUUUCAACGGAGGAUUUUUAGUAACAUUCGAAAAAUUAUUGAAGGUUCUUCCUUAGCAGAGUAUCACCUACUUCAGGUUCAAACACUGGUGGGUAGGUCUGAAAAUUACCCUGGUCAUCAUAGUCGUGCAUCAAGCAUCUCUUUCGCAUGUGGUAGAGAGAAUUCAUAUUAAGUGAAAAUGGUCACCAAAUUUCUCUGUACCUAUUUCUUAAUAAUUGAAUUUUCCGGUAAUUUGAUUUUAAA